ensembl:lncRNA
GGACAGCCCACUAGUUGUGUGUAUGUAACCCCAUGCUAUUUAUGGGAGUGGACUGAGCUGGAGGUACUUGCUAGGUUGGUAUUUCUGCCAGCAGUCUGGACCAGCACAGUAGCCAAACCUAACAUCCCUUCCAAAGGUGGAAAAUAAAUGAUAAAUGGAGAGAAAGAGAAAUAGUAGCUGAGGUUGGAGAGAUCACAGUUAACCAGAACAGAGAGAGGCACCUGGAUGUCAAUAAGGCCAAAAUUUAUAUAACGAAGAUGUAACCCCCAGUACCUCAGAACUGUGACUGUAUUUGGAGAUUGGGUCUUAAAGAGGUAAUUCAGGUUGAAUGAAGUCAUUAGGAUGGACUCUAAUGCAAUAUGACUCCUGUCCUUAUAAGAAGAGGAAACUUACACACAGACACAAAAAGAGGAAGACCAUGUGAAGACAUAGGGAGAAGACAGCCACCUACAAGCCAAGAAGAGAGGCCUCAGGAGAAACCAACCCCACAGACAACUUGAUCCUGGAGUUCCAGCCUCCAGAACUGUAAGGAAAUAAGUUUCUGUUGUUUAAGCUACCCAGCCUGUGGUAUUUUGUUAUGGCAGCCUUAGCAGAUGAAUACAAGGUACAAUGGAGAUUCAUCACCAGGUAAAACUAAUUCCAAAGCCCUGGCUGGCCCUCUCUCUGUAUCAUGGAAAAGAUCAGCCAGUGAUAUGGGAGGCAGCCAGGCAGGAGACAAAUGAGCGAUGUGCAGAGUGACUCAUUGUGGUGGGAGGGAGUGGUGGGCAGGGGUGAGGGUCAGCAAAGGCCUCCUGAAAGAAGGGAGCGUUGAGUUGGGUAGGGUAAUUCGGGAAAGACACAAAUGGGCAGAGGAGAAGGAGGGGGCAUUCCAGGCCACAGGGCCACCGAUUUUGCUGGAUACCAGGGCCACCAUCCCUGCUGUCUGGAUGGAUGUUUGGCCAGCCAAGCACACAUGUGGACAAAGCACUGAGGAAUGUUGGCCCCUACUGAGCGUGAGGAGAUGGUCUGUAAAUCAGGAGUCUUUUAUGGACGACUUCUUCCCCUGAAGCCCCAGCAGAUAACCAAGAACAGAGAGGCCGGCAGCUUCUCAUAUUUAUUAAGAGGCAGAGAGUGCAAGAAGGAGGGACCAGGAGGCACUGGCAGAAAAAGGACAGUUAACCCUAGAACUCUGGACCUUGGAGAAAGAAAGCUGAGAACAAACCCGCCACAGGGUUGAACACAGAGCAUGGGAACGAGCAAGGGGAGGGGUCCCAAGUCUGACACACAAUGUAUCAAAUAUAAUAAGUCCUGUGAGGCCUAUCAAAUCCCCUGUUACCCCAACCCCACACUAUGCCAAAUAGUAAAAGCAGAUGUUUUGCAAACUGGUAACAACUCAAAAGUCUUUUCUUGUGAUUGGCAAGAGAAAGGGGGAGACUGCUGAGAGGGGUGGAGAGAGAAGACUUUUGGGAAAGGUCCAAAUAUUAGUGCACCAGAAACCCUACCCUGAGCUCCUCCAACAAUAGAAAAAGAGGGAUUCAAUUUAGCUUGGGCAAGGAGAGAAGAUCUAUUGUAACAUGGAAGAAAUUCAAACGCGAUAGGAGAACAAAGCAACAUUUCAAAUUGCUGUGAUUUAUCCAGCCUGACCCAUUUUGUUCAAAUACCAAGCUGACAGGGCCAAUUGCAAUACUUCAUGGUGGGAGGGUGGGGUAGAAGGUCCCCCGUUAUGCCUUUGGAAAUUCAGUCUCUCCAUGCCUGAUCCUGAGCCUUUGCCCUUCUUCUCAGUGAAGGAAACGCUCCCAGCCCCAUAACUUCCAUCACAUUCUUGGUGGGCGUAAUCACCAGGGGCAGCACAAGCUCUCUAAAGUAGCCAUGGUAUUGUCUUCAGCCUAAAGGCAGCAUCCACAGAGCAGCACGUGUCCAUUCCACCUGGUGGCCUUGCAAGGAAAUGCUGGCACAUGCACACUGCUCGAGUCCUGGCCAGUAGAAGAGUCUAGGGCUCUGGAAGAGGCUAGGGUGGGAGUCAGGUGGUUUGGGUCUAGGCUUGAGGCAAUUCAUUGACCCUCUUGCUUUAUUUUCCUGACUUCUCCCAUGGGGAGGACAUUAUACAAGUUCUGUGCUCUUUUAUUUUUGGCGUGAUAGGCAAAAAACUGUACAUAGUUAAUGUAUUCAACUUGAUGAGUUUGGAGAUAAGAACACAUUCUUGAAACCAUCAUCACAAUCUCUGACAUAAAAGUAUCCAUCAUAUCCAAAAAUUUCCUUCCACCUUCUUUAUUAUUAUUUUGCAGUAAGAACAC